GCAGGCGGCAUAAAUCAAGUCCGCGGGGCAUGGAGGCUGCUGCCGCUGCUGCAGCUCGGCUUGCCCGGGGCGGGAACUCCCCCUUCUCUCGCCUCCCCAGCGCCCACGACCUGCCUUCUCCCUAAUUCUUCGCUGGAUAAUAGCGCCUGAACGACAAUAGUCAAAAUAACAGGGUCAGAACGACAGAGUUUGUUUUGGUCUACCGGGGGAAAAAAAAAAUCAAAAAACCAGCAGCCUAAACAUCUCUGAAAACUGCAUCGCAAAAUGGAAGAGAGUCCCACUACUGUUUCGAAAGAAAACUGUGAAAGCCAAAUACAGAGGAUGGUAGCACCAUAAAGUGAAUGGAGUUGGGCUCUUGAAACAUUGCAUGGAGGAGACACCAGGAAAGCAUCAUGAAUCCAACUGGACCAUUAUGCUUCCUGAGGCAGCUAGACUUUCCCAAGUUCCCCUGAGAAACUUAACAGACUUCUUGGAUAUAUAAGAGCUCACAGGAAAAAAAAAAAAUCACAGGAUCAGCAGUUACUGCCAUGGUUCUGUUCUCCUUACAGACUCUCCAGCUACCUGUCCUGGCCAGCGAAAUGUGAGCAGAGGUCACUAGCUAAAGCUUCCAGAAAACCUUUCAGAAGUGGAGAGAGACCUAGCUUGCUUGUAUCUUUUACCUCUUUCUCUUCAUCAUCUUUCUCAUCUCAUCUUUCCCAACAUGGAUGAGAGGCUAUCCUGUGGCCUUCAAGUGUUGUACCUGAGGACAAAAGCCACUUACCAAAGCUGGCAGAAUGUGAAGGAUCAGCACCCUGGGCUCACGGAAGAAACACGAUCUAGAGCCAGAGAAGGAAGAGAGCUGGAGGAGAGGGAGCUGAAGGCAGGAGAAGGUCAGAGAGAUAUUUCAGCAUGACAGAGCUGGUACUAAACCUGAUCAGACUGGAAGAGGGUUUGCCUUACACAGAGCUAAGUACACCAACACGAAGGCUCCAUGCCCAUCAUGGAGGGGCUUGAACUUAUAACCCUGACAUUGAGACCUGAGCUGAGAUCAAGAGUCAGAUGCUCAACCAACUGAACCACCCAGUUGCUUAAAUCAACAAGAGAAAGAAAAGAAAUCCGUGGGUUCACAUAAAAUAGCCCAGGAAGAUCCAGCUUCAAGAAUAGCUGGGAUACACAGGUCCGAUAUUUUAAUGAAAUCAACUGGCAACCCUGGGAAAACUCUGCUUUGUUUCAUUUUUUCCACUUUCCAGACAUCAUCACUCUAGAGUGCUUCUUUCCACUCAAGCUGGAAGAUACAAUUGCAGCAAAAUGGUGAAUAUGGGCUCAAGCUGCAAGGGACCUGCCAACUGGGAGGCUCCUGGCCCAGUAGGUCCCCUCCUGCAUGGUAGAGACUCCCUUCAGAUUUUCCUUUUAAGCAUUCAAAGAUCCCUUGGCACAAACAAUAAAACAAACAUAUGCUCUUCACCCUGGAAAGCUGAAAAGCAAAAGAUUGUUUGUUUUUUAAAGGACUUCAUUGUAAAUCCAGAAUAUACCCCUCAAACCAUGUGCCAGCCAUUUGCCUGAUCCAUUCUCCACACUUAUGCUCUCCUCUGCAUUGCAGAAGGCUCCUCCUGCAAGCUACAUUUCUCAGACUUUCCAGCCAACUGGCUUCUGGGUCAGUUCAACCCAUCGAAGGUAUGGGUAGGAGAUAGGAGGGGACAGUACACUGAAGACAGGGAGAAGACAAGAAGCUUAUCUUCCCCCCUCUUUCUUUCUGAAGAUGUGUCAUCUUUGGUAGUGGCUUUUGUGUCUUUAGUUUUCCAGCUCUUGUCAAACAACCCUUUAUUCUAUGACCUUAUAUGUAAAAAUUUUAAAAAGGCACCUAAAAUAAUGCUGUAAAUUGAUUAUGGACUUACAGUUAAUAUUUUAAAAUGGAUAUGUAUACAUGUUGAAUUAUGAUUAUGGUUGAUGGACUGGAUCAGAGAAGGC